rnacentral:misc_RNA from 1 species
UACGAAGGGGGCUAGCGUUGCUCGGAUUUACUGGGCGUAAAGGGCGCGUAGGCGGACAGUUAAGUUAGGGGUGAAAUCCCGGGGCUCAACCUCGGAACUGCCUUUAAAACUGGCUGUCUUGAGUACGGGAGAGGUGUGUGGAACUCCGAGUGUAGAGGUGAAAUUCGUAGAUAUUCGGAAGAACACCAGUGGCGAAGGCGACACACUGGCCCGUUACUGACGCUGAGGCGCGAAAGCGUGGGGAGCAAACAGG